GAAACUCCGUCGUGCUGCGGAUUGGGGUUUGCAAUUAUCCCCCAUAAACGAGGAAUUCCUAGUAAGCGCGAGUCAUAAGCUCGCGUUGAUUCAUUCCCUGCCCUUUGUAC
rnacentral:rRNA from 1 species